CAACCCUCAAGCCCCCGGGCUUGGUGUUGGGGAUCGGCCGCCCUCCGGCGCGCCGGCCCCGAAAUCUAGUGGCGGUCUCGCUGUAGCUUCCUCUGCGUAGUAGCACACCUCGCACCGGAACGCAGCCUGGCCACGCCGUUAAACCCCCCACUUCUGAA
rnacentral:misc_RNA from 1 species